CCUACGGAGUGCAGCAGUGGGGAAUAUUGGGCAAUGGGCGCAAGCCUGACCCAGCAACGCCGCGUGAAGGAAGAAGGCUUUCGGGUUGUAAACUUCUUUUGACAGGGAAGAGCAGAAGACGGUACCUGUCGAAUAAGCCACGGCUAACUACGUGCCAGGAGCCGCGGUAAUACGUAGGUGGCAAGCGUUGUCCGGAUUUACUGGGGGUAAAGGGCGUGUAGCCGGGCUGACAAGUCAGAUGUGAAAUCCGGGGGCUCAACCCCCGAACUGCAUUUGAAACUGUUGGUCUUGAGUAUCGGAGAGGCAGGCGGAAUUCCUAGUGUAGCGGUGAAAUGCGUAGAUAUUAGGAGGAACACCAGUGGCGAAGGCGGCCUGCUGGACGACAACUGACGGUGAGGCGCGAAAGCGUGGGGAGCAAACAGGAUUAGAUACCCUGGUAGUC
rnacentral:rRNA from 1 species